rnacentral:rRNA from 1 species
ACUCUAAGCGGUGGAUCACUCGGCUCAUGGGUCGAUGAAGAACGCAGCAAACUGUGCGUCAUCGUGUGAACUGCAGGACACAUGAACAUCGACAUUUGAACGCAUAUCGCAGUCCAUGCUGUUAUGUACUUUAAUUAAUUUUAAAGUGCUGCUUGGACUACAUAUGGUUGAGGGUUGUAAGACUAUGCAAAAUAAGUUGUUCAUAAAUUUCAUUUCAUGAUUUUUAUAAGCACAUGGUAUAUUAUUGGGUAUAAUAAUUAUUAAUUGUUAUAUUCAUAAUAUUAAAAAUUAUAUGAAAAACAUUAUUCUCACAUUGUUGUAAAUAUUUGAAUGUGAAAACGAAGAGAAAUAUUUUCUUUUUUUUAAAUCAAAUAAUACUGAGAAAUGUCUAGCAUAAAAAAUGUGAAAAUAUUUUCAUCUAGAAUUGUCUCUUAUUAAUGAUGCAAAAAAUCGAAAAAUGUUGCUAAUGUUAUUAUUCUUCGUUUGGUUUGUUAAAAAAUAUAACAAAUUUAAAUAUAUAAUGUUUCUCUAUAUAAAAAGAAUUAAUGCUAAUAAAUGUUUAUACAACCUCAACUCAUAUGGGACUACCCCCUGAAUUUAAGCAUAUUAAUUAGGGGAGGAAAAGAAACUAACAAGGAUUUUCUUAGUAGCGGCGAGCGAAAAGAAAUCAGUUCAGCACUAAGUCACUUUGUCUAUAUGGCAAAUGUGAGAUGCAGUGUAUGGAGCGUCAAUAUUCUAGUAUGAGAAAUUAACGAUUUAAGUCCUCUUAAAUGAGGCCAUUUACCCAUAGAGGGUGCCAGGCCCGUAUAACGUUAAUGAUUACUAGAUGAUGUUUCCAAAGAGUCGUGUUGCUUGAUAGUGCAGCACUAAGUGGGUGGUAAACUCCAUCUAAAACUAAAUAUAACCAUGAGACCGAUAGUAAACAAGUACCGUGAGGGAAAGUUGAAAAGAACUCUGAAUAGAGAGUUAAACAGUACGUGAAACUGCUUAGAGGUUAAGCCCGAUGAACCUGAAUAUCCGUUAUGGAAAAUUCAUCAUUAGACUUGUAGUAUUUAAACAAUAUUAUGAUAAUAGUGUGCAUUUUUUCCAUAUAAGGACAUUGUAAUCUAUUAACAUAACUAAAUUUAUCAUAAAAUAUGGCUUAUAGUUAUUCAAAUUAUUAUGCUUGCAUUUAACAUAGAAUAAAUGUCAUUAAUUUGAUAAAGUGCUGAUAGAUUUAUAUGACUACAGUGCGUUAAUUUUUCGGAAUUAUAUAAUGGCAUAAUUAUCAUUGAUUUUUGUGUUAUUAUAUGCACUUGUACGAUUAACAAUGCGAAAGAUUCAGGAUACCUUCGGGACCCGUCUUGAAACACGGACCAAGGAGCUAACAUAUGUGCAAGUUAUUGGGAUAUAAACCUAAUAGCGUAAUUAACUUGACUAAUAAUGGGAUUAGUUUUUAACUAUUUAUAGCUAAUUAACACAAUCCCGGGGCGUUCUAUAUAGUUAUGUAUAAUAAUAUUUAUAUUAUUAUGCCUCUAACUGGAACGUACCUUGAGCAGAUAUGCUGUGACCCGAAAGAUGGUGAACUAUACUUGAUCAGGUUGAAGUCAGGGGAAACCCUGAUGGAAGACCGAAACAGUUCUGACGUGCAAAUCGAUGUCAGAAUGAGUAUAGGGCGAAAAGACCAAUCGAACCAUUGUACAGGAUCUUGGUGGUGAUUAGCAAAUAAUCGAAGAACCUUGAGGAAUGAAGUGGAGAAGGUUCGUGUAACAGUGGUUGAUCACGAGUUAGUCCGCGUCCUAAGUUCAAGGCGAAAGCCGAAAAUUUUCAAGUAAUAAAAUGACUAUUAUAUUACAAAAAUGCAAUUAAUAUACUGAAUAAUUUGAACGAAAGGGAAUACGGUUCCAAUUCCGUAACCUGUUGAGUAUCCGUUGUAUUAAAUAUGGGCCUCGUGCUCAUCCUGGCAACAGGAACGACCAUAAAAGAAAGAAGCCCGUCGAGGAAGAUAUCGGAAGAGUUUUUCUUUUCUGUUUUAUAGCCGUACUACCAUGGAAGUCUUUCGCAGAGAGAUAUGGUAGAUGGGCUAGAAGAGCAUGACAAUACUGUUGUGUCGAUAUUUUCUCCUCGGACCUUGAAAAUUUAUGGUGGGAUACGCAAACUUCUCAACAGGCCGUACAAUAUCCGCAGCUGGUCCCAAGGUGAAGAGUCUCUAGUCGAUAGAAUAAUGUAGGAAGGAAGUCGGCAAAUUAGAUCCGUAACUUCGGGAUAAGGAUGGCUCUGAAGAUUGAGAUAGUCGGGCUUGAUUGGGAAACAAUAACAUGGUUAUGUGCUCGUUCUGGGUAAAUAGAGUUUCUAUCAUUUAUGUUAGUUGCUUGUUCCCGGAUAGUUUAGUUACGUAGCCAAUUGUGGAACUUCUUGCUAAAAUUUUUAAGAAUACUAGUUGGUCAAACCAAUUAGUUCUUAUUAAUUAUAACGAUAUCAAUUAACAAUCAAUUCAGAACUGGCACGGACUUGGGAAUCCGACUGUCUAAUUAAAACAAAGCAUGUGAUGGCCCUAGCGGGUGUUGACACAAUGUGAUUUCUGCCCAGUGCCUGAAUGUCAAAGUGAAGAAAUCAAGUAAGCGCGGGUCAACGGCGGAGUAACAUGACUCUCUUAAGGUAGCCAAAUGCCUCGUCAUCUAAUAGUGACGCGCAUGAAGGAUAACGAGAUUCCUACUGUCCCUAUCUAUUUUCUAGCUGAAUACGCACGUUCUUUCUAAGGCGCUUAUGCGGCGGGGCCCUAUCCGGUGGACAAAGGGACCACGAGCGAAUGGAACGGGUUAGAGAGGCAGAGGGCCUGGGGAGGGGGUGGAUAACGGAGAUCCUUGGGUCGGUGGAGUGCUCUAACCUGGCCUUGAAAAAGAAAUAAAAAAUACGCGGCCCCCAAUACAUUAAUAUUAGUUUAAAAAAAAAAAAAAAAAAAAAAAAAAAAAAUCAAUAACACGAAAACCACAGCCAAGGAAAAAAGCAAAGAAACCUUGAGCUGACUCUAAUCUGGCAGUGUAAGGAGACAUAAGAGGUGUAAAUAGGGAGAUAUUAGACUUCGGUUGGUAUCGACAAUGAAUACCACUACUCUAUUGUCCUUACUACUGAUUAAAUGGAACGUGUCAUUCCUAGCCAUAUACGGAUAUUUAUAUAUCUUAGUAUGGGUUUUGAUGCAAGCUUCUGAUCAAAGUAUCACGAGUUGUUAUAUAAUCGCAAACAAAUUUUAAUGAGACGAUGCAUUAUAUUUGAUUUGAAAAUUGGUAUAACCCAAUUACUCAGGUAUAUCCAAUUCAAGGACAUUGCCAGGUAGGGAUUUGACUGGGGCGGUACAUCUCUCAAAUAAUAACGGAGGUGUCCCAAGGCCAGCUCAGUGCGGACAGAAACCACACAUAGAGCAAAAGGGCAAAUGCUGACUGAUCUCGGUGUUCAGUACACACAGGGACAGCAAAAGCUCGGCCUAUCGAUCCUUUGGUUAAAGAGUUUUAACAAGAGGUGUCAGAAAAGUUACCAUAGGGAUAACUGGCUUGUGGCGGCCAAGCGUUCAUAGCGACGUCGCUUUUGAUCCUUCGAUGUCGGCUCUUCCUAUCAUUGUGAAGCAAAAUUCACCAAGCGUUGGAUUGUUCACCCAUGCAAGGGAACGUGAGCUGGGUUUAGACCGUCGUGAGACAGGUUAGUUUUACCCUACUAAUGACAAAACGUUGUUGCGACAGCAUUCCUGCGUAGUACGAGAGGAACCGCAGGUACGGACCAAUGGCACAAUACUGUUCGAGCGAACAGUGGUAUGACGCUACGUCCGUUGGAUUAUGCCUGAACGCCUCUAAGGUCGUAUCCGUGCUGGACUGCAAUGAUAAAUAAGGGGCAAUUUGCAUUGUAUGGCUUCUAAACCAUUUAAAGUUUGU